rnacentral:rRNA from 1 species
ACUCCUACGGAGGCAGCAGUGGGGAAUAUUGCACAAUGGGGGAAACCCUGAUGCAGCCAUGCCGCGUGUGUGAAGAAGGCCUUCGGGUUGUAAAGCACUUUCAGUAGGGAGGAAGGUAGUGUAGUUAACACCUGCAUUAUUUGACGUUACCUACAGAAGAAGCACCGGCUAACUCCGUGCCAGCAGCCGCGGUAAUACGGAGGGUGCGAGCGUUAAUCGGAAUUACUGGGCGUAAAGCGCAUGCAGGCGGCCUGUUAAGUCAGAUGUGAAAGCCCGGGGCUUAACCUCGGAAUUGCAUUUGAAACUGGCAGGCUAGAGUCUUGUAGAGGGGUUAGGAAUUUCAGGUGUAGCGGUGAAAUGCGUAGAGAUCUGAAGGAAUACCAGUGGCGAAGGCGGCCCCUGGACAAAGACUGACGCUCAGAUGCGAAAGCGUGGGAGCAAACAGGAUUAGAUACCCCUGGUAGGUCAGUC